GAUGAACGCUGGCGGCGUGCCUAAUACAUGCAAGUCGAGCGAACAGACGAGGAGCUUGCUCCUCUGACGUUAGCGGCGGACGGGUGAGUAACACGUGGAUAACCUACCUAUAAGACUGGGAUAACUUCGGGAAACCGGAGCUAAUACCGGAUAAUAUAUUGAACCGCAUGGUUCAAUAGUGAAAGACGGUUUUGCUGUCACUUAUAGAUGGAUCCGCGCCGCAUUAGCUAGUUGGUAAGGUAACGGCUUACCAAGGCAACGAUGCGUAGCCGACCUGAGAGGGUGAUCGGCCACACGGGAACUGAGACACGGUCCAGACUCCUACGGGAGGCAGCAGUAGGGAAUCUUCCGCAAUGGGCGAAAGCCUGACGGAGCAACGCCGCGUGAGUGAUGAAGGCCUUCGGAUCGUAAAACUCUGUUAUUAGGGAAGAACAAAUGUGUAAGUAACUAUGCACGUCUUGACGGUACCUAAUCAGAAAGCCACGGCUAACUACGUG
rnacentral:rRNA from 1 species